CUCAAGCUAACACAUCUAAUUUAUUAUUUUACUAACUUAAACAUAAUAAUUCCAAUAACUCUAAAUACAUUUUAAAAUACACGGCGAGCGCGCGAUAAAACAACUUAAUUCGAAAUUCAAUUAUUACGCGUCGAUAACUGACUGGCCUGCUGAAUGAAUCUCUCCGUCUUAUAUACUUCGGUGUUCGUCGUAUCGAAUGCCAUGGAAUGGACUGGCUUUCUCUGUAGUGAUGUUGAUUAAUUAUAGUUACUUUCGAGUAUUCGUUACAAAUCGUUACUUUUGUAUAAAGUAAUAAUUUACAGUAUUCGUUACUUUGAUUACUAUAAAUACUUUUGUAUUUGAGUACCGGUAAUCAUAUCUAGAAUCGUAUUUCUCAGUAGGUAGGUAUUUUGUAUAGGUAUUCCGUUAUAACAAGAUCUACUAUCUAAUCUACAUCGGCAAAUGACGUAGAUCAAGAUAAAAAUAUAGGGUUCUCGCAUUCGAUCUUUGUUAAUGACAUACAUUACAUAUUUUACGUAUACCAUUAUACCUAGGUACAAUUAAUUACAGGGACCCGAUCCGUCAACUGUCAGUGUCAGUUAAAUUCAUACGUGGUAUUUGUGACAUUUGAUACACGUCAAGUUUUAUUUUUGUUUGUAGAAAUGGAAUAUUUAUAUUGCUUGUACGUUAUUAUUUAAUUUCUAUAAAAUGGUAAUGUGUUGGGUGCCCGAAUGGGUAUCAUUGAUAUUGAAAUCUGCUGAACGGACUAAAACUACUCAUUUUAUGUUAGUGCUACUUUUAUAAAGAAGAUAAAGAAAAUCUUCUCACCAUAUUUUCAAAUAGGACUGGUGAAGAUGCUGAAGAAAUGCAGUACUAUCUUGUGUGUAAAUCCUUGAUUUUGUGUAAUUUAUAAAAUUGAAAGCAAUAUGAUAUGACUAACAAUGAUUGUGUCUUUAUAAAAAAAAAUAUAUCACAGGUACAAUUAUAAUGUAUUAUUGUCUUUUUUGAUAACUAGAAAUGCGGUUACAACGUUGUUCCAGCAUAGCAUUCUAGUAUAGAUUUCCAUUUUAGCAUAUCAAGAAGGAUCACAAUUUAGUGAAAGUGUACAUGGGAAUAACAACUACUGUAUAUUGAAAUAUUGUUUAAUAUUUAAUACGCUAAGUAAUAUUCAAUUAGAAUAUUACCAUGGAUCAUGGAUGGGUGAAAUAUCACAGUUUUAACAAAAAAAAAAAA
rnacentral:lncRNA from 1 species